rnacentral:tRNA from 1 species
AAUUUAGUAUUGUAUAAAACAUACCAAAUUGUAAAUUUGGAGAAACGAAAGUCUAAAUUA